rnacentral:rRNA from 1 species
UAAGCGGAGGAAAAGAAACUAACAAGGAUUCCCCUAGUAACGGCGAGUGAAGAGGGAAGAGCCCAAGAUUGAAAGCUGGCGUCUUCGGCGUCCGCAUUGUAAUCUCAAGAAGUGUUUUCCGCUUCGGACCAUGCCUAAGUCCCUUGGAAAAGGGCAUCAUAGAGGGUGAUAAUCCCGUACAUGGCAUGGAGCGCCCGAAGCUUUGUGAUACGCUUUCUAAGAGUCGAGUUGUUUGGGAAUGCAGCUCAAAAUGGGUGGUAAAUGCCAUCUAAGGCUAAAUAUUGGGGAGAGACCGAUAGCGAACAAGUACAGUGAUGGAAAGAUGAAAAGAACUUUGAAAAGAGAGUUAAACAGUACGUGAAAUUGCCAAAAGGGAAGGGUAGGAGGUCAGAGAUGCGUUCUGGGAUUCAGCCUUGCUUUUGCUUGGUGUUUUUCCCAAAUUGCAGGCCAACGUCGGUUUUGGGCGCUGGAGAAGGGUGGAAGGAACGUGGCACCCCUCGGGGUGUGUUAUAGCCUUCUACUGGAUACAGUGACCGAGACCGAGGACAGCAGCGUACUCGCUAGAGCGGGCCUUCGGGCACCUUUACGCUUAGGGCGUUGGCAUAAUGGCCCUCUACCACCCGUCUUGAAA